GCCCGCCUAGCUCAAUCGGAUAGAGCGUCAGACUCUUACGAGACCUGAAUCGGGUGCAUCUGAAGGCUGCGAGUUCGACCCUCGCGGUGGGCU